GGUACGGAUCCGACGCCUCUCGUAAGAUACUUAGGCUCUCCGUACCCUACUCCUACUCAAAACGUCCCCGACGUACAGAACGGUAACAUGUC
rnacentral:ribozyme from 1 species